UACGUAGGGGGCAAGCGUUGUCCGGAUUUAUUGGGCGUAAAGGGCGCGCAGGCGGCGCUUCAAGUCCGUUGUGAAAUUUCAGGGCUUAACCCUGACGGGUCAACGGAAACUGAAGGGCUAGAGUGCAGCAGAGGAAAGCGGAAUUCCCGGUGUAGUGGUGAAAUGCGUAGAUAUCGGGAGGAACACCAGAGGCGAAAAGCGGCUUUCUGGGCUGUAACUGACGCUGAGGCGCGAAGGCUAGGGGAGCAAACAGG
rnacentral:rRNA from 1 species